rnacentral:RNase_P_RNA from 1 species
UGAGUGGGUCAGACGAUCGCUGUCGUAACGACAGAGGAAAGUCCGGGCUCCAACGGGUCAGGACGCCAGGUAACGCCUGGGGGGCGCGAGCCUACGGAAAGUGCAACAGAAAGGAAACCGCCUGCUUGCAGGUAAGGGUGAAAAGGUGCGGUAAGAGCGCACCGCGCGGUUGGCAACAAGCGUGGCGAUGGUAAACCCCGUCCGGAGCAAGACCAA